rnacentral:rRNA from 1 species
GUGGGGAAUAUUGGACAAUGGGCGCAAGCCUGAUCCAGCCAUGCCGCGUGAGUGAUGAAGGCCUUAGGGUCGUAAAGCUCUUUCACCGGUGAAGAUAAUGACGGUAACCGGAGAUGAAGCUCCGGCUAACUUCGUGCCAGCAGCCGCGGUAAUACGAAGGGGGCUAGCGUUGUUCGGAAUUACUGGGCGUAAAGCGCACGUAGGCUGAUAUUUAAGUCAGGGGUGAAAUCCCGGGGCCCAACCCCGGAACUGCCUUUGAUACUGGGUAUCUUGAGUAUGGAAGAGGUCAGUGGAAUUGCGAGUGUAGAGGUGAAAUUCGUAGAUAUUCGCAGGAACACCAGUGGCGAAGGCGGCUGACUGGUCCAUUACUGACGCUGAGGUGCGAAAGCGUGGGGAGCAAACAGGAUUAGAUUCCCUGGUAGUCC